UUUAAUCCUCUUGUAUUUCGGCAUCAAUAGCAGCAGUUCGGAACAACAGCAGCAUAAUAAGUGGUUCACAAUAAGCGAGCAUAGCAAUCAGAACUGUUGUUCUCCAAGCUAAAGCUCCGAACUUUGAACAUAAUCGACAUGCGACCAUUGCGACAAUAUCUCAAGUUCUGAGUGUCAAAUAGCAACGAAACCAUGUGAAAAACUCUCAGAUCCUUCAAACUAGAGUCAAUAUCUCUGCAACCAUGACAUGGGCAAAAAUCCAGCAAAUAAAUAUGAAGCCUCUCCACCGAAAAGUACACAAGAAUCGAUCUAGGUUGCGGCACUUUCGCCCUUCUUCUGCAACAUCCUCGUGUAGGAGAAUAGAUGUGAAGAUAGUUUCGGUUUAUCUGCUGCUAUGCAAUUAAACAGUCAUUAGCAGUUGGUUUCUCACAAAGGACGCCCACUACAUAUUUUGAAAGGAAUACAGGCAAGUUAUGUAGUACUCCCUCUGUAAACUAAUGUAAGACGUAAAAACGUCUUAGAUUAGUGUACAGAGGUAGUACAUGUUUGUGAUCUCAAAGAGAAGUGACAGCCACAAAGUAAAAAAUAGUGGCACAAACAAGCCGUUAUUAAAUAUGGCAUUUUAUACAAUAUGCAUACAGCAACCAAACCAGCAGGCAUACAUACCAACACAACAUCAGAGGCAUCAACAACCAAAGUUAGGAGGAGCAGUUGUUAACAAGUUGCAGUUACAUAACUUGGUUUUAUUAUUAUCAACAACCAAAGUUAAAAAUGGACUUCUGAUUUGUUAUCUACUAUAUCUACUUGCAUCCCAACAAGAAAAGCAACAAACAAACAAUGGAACAUUUUUUCUAUCACCAAUAAUCAGUUAAUCGACUAAUACCAAAUAAUGGCAUGUUUUUACUCAGUAACCUCCCAAAUUGGAUUAACAAGCACAAUAAUCAGUGGAUCAACUAGUACCAAAAGAUGGCAUCAAGAGGAUCCAUGCCACCUUCCUUCCAUAUGCUACUUGCUUAAAUAAAUAAAUAGAUAGAUAGAACUGACAUAUCCGAAUACAGGUCUUGUUCAUUGGUUGCUUGUGAAAUAAACCCACCAAGCUAUCAGUUUAAUAUGUGUAGUAUCUUCUCAACAAUUUAGUGUUCAAUAUGUGUCACUGAAUGUAAGCAUACAUAGCAGAUGCUUAGAUCUAUUCAAUAACAAUAUGUGUAGCUUACUGUAAAAAUAGUUGACUGUAACAGAGGGUGAAGUAUCAAUGGUGUACAGCUAUUGGAAUUCUCAUCCCAUAAGCAUUUAUCAUGGUGCAUUCUAGGGAAGUCAAAUUUCAGAUAAAAAGUUACGACAUCUGGUGGACACCAAUGUAUGCACACACUACACAUAUUCUGGAAGUCCAAUACCAGUGUGCAUGAAAGUUGUUCAAUGUCAGUAUGCAUGAAAGUAGCUACAAGGGAUUAGAUUUUGGAGUCUUACAUGGGGUAACCUAACUUAAAAUCAAGAACCCUGUAGUUGGCCGACUUGAUGCAAUCGGAGGGCGGAUGAAGAAGCCCGGCACACAG
rnacentral:lncRNA from 1 species